CGCCUCUUGAACCCCAUAAGAGGUCCAGCCUGCCCAGUGACCCUGUUCAACGGCCGCGGUAUCCUAACCGUGCGAAGGUAGCGUAAUCACUUGUUCUUUAAAUGUGGACUAGUAUGAAUGGCAUCACGAAGGUUAUACUGUCUCCUUUUUCUAAUCAGUGAAACUAAUCUCCCCGUGAAGAAGCGAGGAUAAAAAUAUAAGACGAGAAGACCCUAUGGAGCUUUAAACAAAGUAGCACUCGCCACAUAAAUGAAAAAUUCCAGAAUCACCAUCUUCCUCAGGCAAUCUGACUACACGUUUUUGGUUGGGGUGACCGCGGAGUAUAACACAACCUCCAUGUUGAAAGAAAGCUUUCUAAACUAAGAGCUACACCUCUAAGUAUCAAAAGAUUGACAUCCAUUGACCCAAUAAAUUUGAACAACGAACCAAGUUACCCUAGGGAUAACAGCGCAAUCCACUUCAAGAGCUCCUAUCGACAAGUGGGUUUACGACCUCGAUGUUGGAUCAGGGUCUCCCAGUGGUGCAGCCGCUACUAAAGGUUCGUUUGUUCAACGAUUAAAACCCUACG
rnacentral:rRNA from 1 species